rnacentral:rRNA from 1 species
UACGAAGGGGGCUAGCGUUGUUCGGAUUUACUGGGCGUAAAGGGCGCGUAGGCGGGCCGAUAAGUCAGGGGUGAAAUCCCAAGGCUCAACCUUGGAACUGCCUUUGAUACUGUUGGUCUUGAGUCCGGGAGAGGUGAGUGGAACUGCGAGUGUAGAGGUGAAAUUCGUAGAUAUUCGCAAGAACACCGGUGGCGAAGGCGGCUCACUGGUCCGGAACUGACGCUGAGGCACGACAGCGUGGGGAGCAAACAGG